CCUACGGGAGGCAGCAGUGAGGAAUAUUGGUCAAUGGUCGGGAGACUGAACCAGCCAAGCCGCGUGAGGGAGGAAGGUACAGCGUAUCGUAAACCUCUUUUGUCAGGGCACAAAUCCUGGUACGCGUCCCCUGCUGAGUGUACCUGACGAACCAGCAUCGGCUAACUCCGUGCCAGCAGCCGCGGUAAUACGGAGGAUGCGAGCGUUAUCCGGAUGUAUUGGGUUUAAAGGGUGCACAGGCGGUCUGUUAAGUCAGCGGUCAAAGCCCGGGGCUCAACCCCGGCCCGCCGUUGAAACUGGCAGUCUCGAGUUGGAGAGAAUUAUGCGGAAUGCGCAGUGUAGCGGUGAAAUGCUUAGAUAUUGCGCAGAACUCCGAUUGCGAAGGCAGCAUACCGGCGGCGAUCUGACGCUGAGGCACGAAAGCGUGGGUAUCGAACAGGAUUAGAUACCCGUGUAGUC
rnacentral:rRNA from 1 species